rnacentral:rRNA from 1 species
UCAGGACGAACGCUGGCGGCGUGCCUAAUACAUGCAAGUCGAACGGUCUUUCUAUGGAAGCUUGCUUCCACUGAGAAGAUAGUGGCGAACGGGUGAGUAACACGUGGGUAACCUGCCCAUAAGAGGGGGGAUAACAUCCGGAAACGGGUGCUAAUACCGCAUAGUUUUCUUGAUCGCAUGAUCGGGAAAGGAAAGACGGCCUUUGUGCUGUCGCUUAUGGAUGGACCCGCGGCGUAUUAGUUAGUUGGUGAGGUAACGGCUCACCAAGACGAUGAUACGUAGCCGACCUGAGAGGGUGAUCGGCCACAUUGGGACUGAGACACGGCCCAAACUCCUACGGGAGGCAGCAGUAGGGAAUCUUCCGCAAUGGACGAAAGUCUGACGGAGCAACGCCGCGUGAGUGAAAGAAGGUUUUCGGGUCGUAAAACUCUGUUGUCAGAGAAGAACAAGUUGGAGAGUAACUGCUCCAGCCUUGACGGUAUCUGACCAGAAAGCCACGGCUAACUACGUGCCAGCAGCGGC